rnacentral:rRNA from 1 species
GGGCGGCGUGCUAUAAUGCAAGUCGAGCGAACUUGCGGGAGCUUGCUCCCAAAAGUUAGCGGCGGACGGGUGAGUAACACGUGGGCAACCUGCCUGUAAGACUGGGAUAACUUCGGGAAACCGGAGCUAAUACCGGAUAAUUCUUUUCUACACAUGUAGGAAAGCUGAAAGAUGGCUUCGGCUAUCACUUACAGAUGGGCCCGCGGCGCAUUAGCUAGUUGGUGAGGUAACGGCUCACCAAGGCAACGAUGCGUAGCCGACCUGAGAGGGUGAUCGGCCACACUGGGACUGAGACACGGCCCAGACUCCUACGGGAGGCAGCAGUAGGGAAUCUUCCGCAAUGGACGAAAGUCUGACGGAGCAACGCCGCGUGAGUGAUGAAGGUUUUCGGAUCGUAAAACUCUGUUGUUAGGGAAGAACAAGUACCGGAGUAACUGCCGGUACCUUGACGGUACCUAACCAGAAAGCCACGGCUAACUACCUGGCAGCAGCCGGGGUAAUACGUAAGUGGCAAGCGGUGGCCGGAAUUAUUGGGCGGAAAGCGCGCGCAAGCGGUCCUUUAAGUCUGAAGGGAAAGCCCACGGCUCCACCGGGGAGGGUCAUUGGAAACUGGGGGACUUGAAUGGAAAAGAAGAAAAUGGAAUUCCACGUGGAACGGUGAAAUGGCUAAAAAAGGGGAAGAACACCAGUGGCGAAGGCGACUCUCUGGUCUGGAACUGACGCUGAAGCGCCAAAGCGUGGGGAACGAACAGGAAUAGAUACCCUGGUAGUCCACGGCGGAAACGAUGAAUGCUAAGUGGUAGAAGGUUUCCGCCCUUUAAUGGUGCAGCAAACGCAUUAAGCACUCCGCCUGGGGAGUACGGCCGCAAGGCUGAAACUCAAAGGAAUUGACGGGGGCCCGCACAAGCGGUGGAGCAUGGGGUUUAAUUCGAAGCAACGCGAAGAACCUUACCAGGUCUUGACAUCCUCUGACAAUCCUAAAAAUAGGACUUUCCCCUUCCGGGGAACAAAUGACGGGUG